AGCGAACGCUGGCGGCAGGCCUAACACAUGCAAGUCGAACGAAGCCUUCGGGCUUAGUGGCGGACGGGUGAGUAACACGUGGGAACGUACCUUUUGGUUCGGAAUAACGCAGAGAAAUUUGCGCUAAUACCGAAUGAGCCCUUCGGGGGAAAGAUUUAUCGCCGAAAGAUCGGCCCGCGUUGGAUUAGGUAGUUGGUGUGGUAAAGGCGCACCAAGCCUACGAUCCAUAGCUGGUCUGAGAGGAUGAUCAGCCACACUGGGACUGAGACACGGACCAGACUACUACGGGAGGCGGCAGUGGGGAAUCUUGCGCAAUGGGCGAAAGCCUGACGCAGCCAUGCCGCGUGAAUGAUGAAGGUCUUAGGAUUGUAAAAUUCUUUUACCAGGGACGAUAAUGACUGUACCUGGAGAAAAAGCCCCGGCUAACUUCGUGCCAGCCGCCGCGGUAAUAC
rnacentral:rRNA from 1 species